CUUCAGUAUGCACAUUCACAGUAGCCAAUGCGGCGGCAUUAAGUCAACCGGUAAGUUUUUUCCUAUAUUUAUGAAAGUCUUCUGUUCAUUCACAUUUGGAGUAUCUUUCACUGUAAGUUUUAUUCACAGAAGUGUCAACUGUUUCAGAACGAGUUUAGAGUAAGUUUCCAGAAUUUUAACUGUACUUUCAAUGUAAUCAUUUACUCCAAACCCCUAAAUAGAGAGGGAAAACAGAUCUACAGUAGGGAUGCAGGACUGUCCCUUUAACAAUGGACCAUUCAGUCCCACAAUAAAUCACUUUCUGGUAUUCCUCGGAUACAAUACUGUCUGCAAAUAUUAGCGCUUUCUUUUUAUUAGUAAUUUUUAUUCACAAAACAGGGAAUUGCAAACUUAGGCUAAAACAACUAAAUUGGAAAUUCAAAUUAAAUUGUCUUUAACCCAGUUAUUGUUCUGUUUUAUCUCAUGGGCCUUAAAUUUGCAAUUGUCCAUUUACUGAAUAAAACCUUGCAUUUUAUUUGUAAAUCUGAAAUUCGGGUAAGCAUUAUAAGCAAUAUGUCAAGUUCUUCAGAAUAUGCCAUGAUUUUAAUUAUGUUUUGAUGAGAUGAUAAUUGCAUUUACCUGAAAAGAUGUUUAUUUGGUUUUACAGGGAUAUGCUUUCUUGUCCUCUAAUGGCAAGGAGAAAGUCAUGACGUGUUUAUCCUGUGCAAGGACCAUGCGUGGUCACAGAGAAAUGAUGAAAGUUCCAGCCGGUAACUUGUUCUUUUGUGCAUCUGGACAGAAAAAUUCUAAACUAAGCCCGACGGGUCCUUUUAAAUGCCUACAUGUGUCAAAGGUAAUAUAAUGCGCACUGUUCAGUAACGUAGCCUUUAACAUAUUGGAGCAAGAUAAACCUGUUUAUUAUAUAUAAAUACCACCUGAUGUUCUUAAUUUUGUGGGAGGGGGAUUCUACAAUUAUAAUUUAUAUCAUUUAUAUUUAGAUACAAUAGAUAUACAGAGUCACGGAGAUAACUUCCAAGCAAUGUCAACUUAGAAUUUCAUCCUUUCAAGGUCAAUACAAAUAGUACAAUCAAGUAAUCUAGACCACGGCUUAAAGCUGAAUUCUGAUGUAGCCAAAUCCAGAAUACGCAACAUAAAUCAGUGAAUAUGUUAUGGAUACUGUUCAUGUUUAUAACUCUUGCUAUGCCUACACAGACUGACCUCUCAACAUCAGAAGCAGAAAAUACCCUGAGCUGUUUGGAAGAGAUGAUUUCAACCAUGAUUUUCGAG